rnacentral:rRNA from 1 species
UACGUAGGGUGCAAGCGUUGUCCGGAAUUAUUGGGCGUAAAGAGCUCGUAGGCGGUCUGUCGCGUCGGCUGUGAAAACCCGGGGGCUCAACCCCGGGCCUGCAGUCGAUACGGGCAGACUAGAGUGCGGUAGGGGAGACUGGAAUUCCUGGUGUAGCGGUGAAAUGCGCAGAUAUCAGGAGGAACACCGGUGGCGAAGGCGGGUCUCUGGGCCGUAACUGACGCUGAGGAGCGAAAAGCGUGGGGGAGCGAAACAGG